UGGGGAAUAUUGGACAAUCGGCGAAAGCCUGAUCCAGCCAUGCCGCGUGUGUGAAGAAGGUCUUCGGAUUGUAAAGCACUUUAAGUUGGGAGGAAGGGCAUUAACCUAAUACGUUAGUGUUUUGACGUUACCGACAGAAUAAGCACCGGCUAACUCUGUGCCAGCAGCCGCGGUAAUACAGAGGGUGCAAGCGUUAAUCGGAAUUACUGGGCGUAAAGCGCGCGUAGGUGGUUUGUUAAGUUGGAUGUGAAAUCCCCGGGCUCAACCUGGGAACUGCAUUCAAAACUGACUGACUAGAGUAUGGUAGAGGGUGGUGGAAUUUCCUGUGUAGCGGUGAAAUGCGUAGAUAUAGGAAGGAACACCAGUGGCGAAGGCGACCACCUGGACUAAUACUGACACUGAGGUGCGAAAGCGUGGGGAGCAAACA
rnacentral:rRNA from 1 species